GACGUAGGGUGCGAGCGUUGUCCGGAUUUAUUGGGCGUAAAGAGCUCGUAGGCGGCUCGUCGCGUCAGCUGUGAAAACCCGCGGCUUAACUGUGGGCUUGCAGCUGAUACGGGCGGGCUAGAGUUCGGUAGGGGAGACUGGAAUUCCUGGUGUAGCGGUGAAAUGCGCAGAUAUCAGGAGGAACACCGGUGGCGAAGGCGGGUCUCUGGGCCGACACUGACACUGAGAGACGAAAGCUAGGGGAGCGAAUGGG
rnacentral:rRNA from 1 species